UUUCCGUAGGUGAACCUGCGGAGGGAUCAUUAAUGUGCCAGCCGGAUCCCCUGCGGCGUCCCCACAAGGGCGCCCGCAGGCUGUCCUGGCUAAACGGCCCCACACUUGUCUAUCGACCGCGUUGUCUCGGCGGGCCGUCCGCGUUGUCGGCGGCCGGGGAGCCCCUGGGGUCCCCUGGUCAGCGCCCGCCCGAGUACCGUUCGAACCACUGUUUUCAGCUAGUGCAGUCUGAGCGAAUAUUUUAAAUAUUACAAAACUUUCAACAAUGGAUCUCUUGGUUCCGGCAUCGAUGGAACGCAGC
rnacentral:misc_RNA from 1 species